rnacentral:RNase_P_RNA from 1 species
GGAGCGAGCCAGACCGCCGCUGGCACAAGGGCCGAAAGGCCGUGCUGGAGGAAGGUCCGGACUGCACAGGGCAACGCAGCAGCUAACGGCUGCCCGCCGACAACCGAAAGGCCUAAGGCGAGGAUCAGAGCAACAGAGACGAGCCGAUUCAGUUCGGGUGAAACGGGCAAUCUCUGCGUGCAGCAACAUCAAGUAGGCGGACGUCGACCUGGCCCGGGGAGUCCGCGGGUAGAUGGCAUCGAGCCGU